AGGACUCAAAGAAUCUUUUGAACAGAAGAGUAGGUUACAAAAGUCCUGUGGGGAUUCCGUACAAAUGAAAGAGAUGAAGAAAGGAACUGACAUUAGUCAAAAGGCAGGAAGAAAAUCUGAGAUACUGAGAAACAGUGAUAUUCUUGAGUUAAAACAUGUUAAGUGUGUGAGUGUUUCUAGGAAAAAGCUAUCCUUUAAACAUGGCUAUGACAGAAACUUCAGAAAAAGUUCACACCAUUAUAAUAAUAAAUAUGGGGAAGGGCUCAGAGACACAGUUGAGGGGUUUGGUGUAUAUCAGAAUACUGGACUGAAAGAGAAUGAAAAGGACAGAUGUGGGGAGACCUUAAGGAAGAGCUCCCAUUCCCAUCUUGAAUAUCAGAGAUAUUAUAGUCAAGGAAGCCUGUUUAAAUGCAGGGUGUGUGAGAAAGCCUUCAAGUGGCGAUCAAACUGUAUCCGACAUGAGAAAAUUCACACUGGAGUGAAGCCUUACAAAUGCAGUUCAUGUGAGAAAGCUUUCCAGCGUUUGUCAACCUACCGUCUGCACCAGAAAACCCAUACUAAACAGAAACAUGAAUCCAGGAA
rnacentral:lncRNA from 1 species